rnacentral:piRNA from 1 species
UCUAGCAUCACAAGUAUUAGAGG